rnacentral:rRNA from 1 species
CCUACGGGUGGCGGGCAGAGAGGAGCAGAAGAAAAAGCAUCGGCUAACGCCGUGCCAGCAGCCGCGGUAAGACGGAGGAUGCGAGCGUUAGCCGGAUUUAUUGGGUGGAAAGGGUGCGCAGGCAGAAGAUCAAGUCAGCGGUAAAAGUGAGAGGCUCACCCUCUGCGAGCCGGUGAAACUUGUUUUCUUGAGUGAGCGAGAAGUCUGCGGAAUGCGUGGUGUAGCGGUGAACUGCAUAGAUCUCACGCAGAACUCCGAUUGCGAAGGCAGCAUACCGGCGCUCAACUGACGCUCAUGCACGCCAGUGUGGGUCUCGAACAGGAUUAGCUACCCUUGUCGUC